GACGAACGCUGGCGGCGUGCUUAACACAUGCAAGUCGAACGGAAAGGCCCUGCUUUUGUGGGGUGCUCGAGUGGCGAACGGGUGAGUAACACGUGAGUAACCUGCCCUUGACUUUGGGAUAACUUCAGUAAACUGGGGCUAAUACCGGAUAGGAGCUCCUGCUGCAUGGUGGGUGUUGUAAAGUUUCGGCGGUUGGGGAUGGACUCGCGGCUUAUCAGCUUGUUGGUGGGGUAGUGGCUUACCAAGGCUUUGACGGGUAGCCGGCCUGAGAGGGUGACCGGCCACAUUGGGACUGAGGUAGGGCCCAGAGUCCUACGGGAGGCAGCAGUGGGGAAUAGUGCACAAUGGGCGGAAGCCUGAUGCAGCAACGCCGCGUGCGGGAUGACGGCCUUCGGGUUGUAAACCGCUUUCGCGUGUGACGAAGCGUGAGUGACGGUAAUGGGUAAAGAAGCACCGGCUAACUACGUG
rnacentral:rRNA from 1 species